rfam:Pteropus alecto contig166163, whole genome shotgun sequence.
GGUUCCACAGUGUAGUGGUUAGCACGUCUGCUUUACACGCAGAAGGUCCUGGGUUUGUGGCCCAGGUGGAGCUG